GAACGAGAAAGUCCGCAAGGAUGAGUAAAGUGGCGAACGGGUGAGUAACACGUGACUACCUGCCCUCGAGUGGGGGAUAACCCCGGGAAACCGGGGCUAAUACCGCAUAAUCUCGCAAGAGCAAAUGCGCAAGCAGCUUGAGGAGGGGGUCGCGGCUGAUUAGCUAGUUGGCGGGGUAACGGCCCACCAAGGCGAUGAUCGGUAGCCGGCCUGAGAGGGCGCACGGCCACACUGGAACUGAAACACGGUCCAGACUCCUACGGGAGGCAGCAGUGGGGAAUUUUGCGCAAUGGGGGAAACCCUGACGCAGCAACGCCGCGUGGAGGAUGAAGUCCCUUGGGACGUAAACUCCUUUCGACCGGGACGAUAAUGACGGUACCGGUGGAAGAAGCCCCGGCUAACUUCGUG
rnacentral:rRNA from 1 species